rnacentral:rRNA from 1 species
GACGAACGCUGGCGGCGUGCCUAAUACAUGCAAGUUGAGCGAUGAAGCUUGGUGCUUGCACCAAUUUGAAGAGCAGCGAACGGGUGAGUAACGCGUGGGGAAUCUGCCUUUGAGCGGGGGACAACAUUUGGAAACGAAUGCUAAUACCGCAUAACAACUUUAAACAUAAGUUUUAAGUUUGAAAGAUGCAAUUGCAUCACUCAAAGAUGAUCCCGCGUUGUAUUAGCUAGUUGGUGAGGUAAAGGCUCACCAAGGCGAUGAUACAUAGCCGACCUGAGAGGGGGAUCGGCCACAUUGGGAAUGAGACACGGCCCAAACGCCUACGGGAGGCAGCAGUAGGGAAUCUUCGGAAAUGGACGAAAGUCUGAACGAGCAACGCCGCGUGAGUGAAGAAGGUUGUCGGAUCGUAAAACUCUGUUGGUAGAGAAGAAAGUUGGUGAGAGUGGAAAGCUCAUCAAGUGACGGUAACUACCCAGAAAGGGACGGCUAACUACGUG